GACGAACGCUGGCGGCGUGCUUAACACAUGCAAGUCGAACGGAAAGGCCCUGCUUUUGUGGGGUGCUCGAAUGGCGAACGGGUGAGUAACACGUGAGUAACCUGCCCUUGACUUUGGGAUAACUUCAGGAAACUGGGGCUAAUACCGGAUAGGAGCUCCUGCUGCAUGGUGGGGGUUGGAAAGUUUCGGCGGUUGGGGAUGGACUCGCGGCUUAUCAGCUUGUUGGUGGGGUAGUGGCUUACCAAGGCUUUGAUGGGUAGCCGGCCUGAGAGGGUGACCGGCCACAUUGGGACUGAGAUACGGCCCAGACUCCUACGGGAGGCAGCAGUGGGGAAUAUUGCACAAUGGGCGGAAGCCUGAUGCAGCAACGCCGCGUGCGGGAUGACGGCCUUCGGGUUGUAAACCGCUUUCGCCUGUGACGAAGCGUGAGUGACGGUAAUGGGUAAAGAAGCACCGGCUAACUACGUG
rnacentral:rRNA from 1 species